AGCGAACGCUGGCGGCAGGCCUAACACAUGCAAGUCGAACGAUCCUUCGGGAUAGUGGCGGACGGGUGAGUAACACGUGGGAACGUGCCUUUUGGUUCGGAACAACUCAGGGAAACUUGAGCUAAUACCGAAUGUGCCCUUGGGGGAAAGAUUUAUCGCCAUUAGAGCGGCCCGCGUCUGAUUAGCUUGUUGGUGAGGUA
rnacentral:rRNA from 1 species